UUCAAUAUUACCCUUAACCAGUAAUGUGCACUUUUCUCUUAGUAAGACGCCGUGAUCCAUUAGAAAUUGGUGCACGCCAAGUGCACAGUGGGUCAUCAAUAGGUCGGYGCGAAGUUUAUUGGAACAAAUGGCGUGAUCUUUCACGGUCGCGUGUAUUGCCUGGUAAGCGCGUCGAUACCUGCAAUGACUGUCUGAUGGAUUUUAAAGAUCGUCACCAAUGAUGUCGUAAGGCAUCAACGCGUUCGCGCGUGCUCGGUGCGUAUCUGAUCAACGGCGGUACCUUUUGGGAUACCUUUUGGACCCGUCUUGAAACACGGACCAAGGAGUCUAUCUAGUAUGCGAGUAAAUGGAUAGUUAUUGAAAUCUAUUUGCGCAAUAAACGUGACUGUUUCAAUGGGAUUACGAUUAGACGACCAGCGAUBGUCGCUUUUCUUCCUUCCCGGGGUAUUUUCAUCCACACAUGCGCAAGCAUGUGGAAAAUAUACCAUGAGCACACUGGAUACGACCCGAAAGAUGGUGAACUAUGCCUGAUCAGGUCGAAGUCAGGGGAAACCCUGAUGGAGGACCGAAGCAGUUCUGACGUGCAAAUCG
rnacentral:rRNA from 1 species